GACAGAGGGUGCAAACGUUGUUCGGAAUUACUGGGCGUAAAGCGCGUGUAGGCGGCCCUGCAAGUCGGGUGUGAAAUCCCACGGCUCAACCGUGGAAGUGCGCUCGAAACUGCAGGGCUAGAGUCCUGGAGAGGAAGGUGGAAUGCUUGGUGUAGAGGUGAAAUUCGUAGAUAUCAAGCGGAACACCGGUGGCGAAGGCGGCCUUCUGGACAGUGACUGACGCUGAGACGCGAAAGCGUGGGGAGCAAACAGG
rnacentral:rRNA from 1 species